UUGAGUUGUGGUUUAAACGUAAGGCUUUUGGAUGGGUCUGCGGCGGAUUAGGUUGUUGCCGGUGUAACGUACCAGCAAGCCUGUAAUCCGUACGGGUUGUGGGAGCAAGAGCCCGGAGAUGGAUUCUGAGACACGAAUCCAGGCCCUACGGGGCGCAGCAGGCGCGAAAACUCUACAAUGCAGGCAACUGCGAUAGGGGAACAUCGAGUGGCACCCACCAUGGGUGUCUGUCCAAUCGUCUAAAAAACGAUUGUCAGCAAGGGCCGGGCAAGACCGGUGCCAGCCGCCGCGGUAAUACCGGCGGCUCGAGUGGUGGCCGAUAUUAUUGAGUCUAAAGGGUCCGUAGCCGGCUUUGCAAGUCCCCUGGGAAAUCCAGCGGCUUAACCGUUGGGCUUUCAUGGGAUACUACAUUGCUUGGGACUGGGAGAGGUAGGAGGUACUCAGGGGGUAGGGGUGAAAUCCUGUAAUCCUUUGGGGACCACCGGUGGCGAAGGCGUCCUACCAGAACAGGUCCGACGGUGAGGGACGAAAGCUAGGGGCACGAACCGGAUUAGAUACCCGGGUAGUCCUAGCCGUAAACGAUGCUCGCUAGGUGUCACGGCAGUCGUGAAUUGUCGUGGUGCCGUAGGGAAGCCGUGA
rnacentral:rRNA from 1 species